AUAAAGCAGAAGUUGCAUGUAACUUUAAGAAAAUACAAGAGACUGUGUCAUUAGUGAGCAUGAGAACAAGAAAGAGAUGACUGAAUUCGGGAGCAUUGAAAUGACUGUAUUUCUGAUUCUGAUGCUUCAGUUUACAACACCAACAACUCAUCUACUUCACUCCGUCUUUAUCGUCAUAGUUGGUGAUGACCUCACUUUGCCUUGUGAAAAUGUGACACAUGGUCAGGAUGACUGUAACAGUACUACCUGGGCCUUCAGUGGUUUGACAGACACAGCAGCAGUAGAGUUGGCCACUCAUGGGCAGAUUCACAAAGAUGUUAGAGCGAAGUCAGCCAGGUUGAGUGUUACAGCAGACUGUUCUCUGGUUAUAAACAAGGUCACAGUCGAGGAUGCUGGCCGUUACACGUGCAGACAAAUCAAAUCAGGAAAUGAAGUUUCAGAGUUUGAUGUCUAUCUGUCCGUUAUUAACAGUGAGUAUUUCAUUCAUAAUGUUUUUCAGCUCAAACUGUGUGUGAAACUUUGCAAUAAUCAAUACUGUGAUUAAAUUAAAUGUUCUCUUAUCUUUUGUCUUCACCAGUGACUCAACAUGACAACGGUAAGGAGCUCAUCUUGAACUGCUCUGUGUUGGCAUAUAAACCUUGUGCAUACACAGUAGAGUGGCUCUAUGAGGGUGAAGCGAACAUCUAUACAGACAUGAAGAUAUUACCAGGUUCCUGCUCUUCAGCAGUGACAUUUAAAUCUCACCUUAAUCAGAAGUCAAAGUUUUAUGAGUCUCUGAAGUGCAAUGUGACAGAUGAGUCCAGUAACAAAGUGAAGCUGUUUCCCUUCAGCUCUCAGUUGUCAGAUGAGAAUGCAAUGACAACAAAAAAAUCCACAGCAGCAAAAAAGUUAAUGGUGACACCAAAUCCAGCACCGGAGGAAGAAUCAUCAAAAAACAGUUGGUCAUGGGAGCAUAUUAUAUUUCCUGCUUUAGUAGCAGUCUUAGUUACUGCUGUGGUGAUGAUCACAAGGAAGAAAACUAGAGGGAACAUGGAAAUGGACGGACAGAACAAUACUGAACCUGAAGAUGACAUUUCCUUGGCUUCCAUCAGCUACACCAAGAACACCAGAGAAGAAGGCACAGUAAGCUUUGUGAUGGGUUACAGUGAGGAUGUUAAUAUCCAGAGUUCUGUUAUUAUUGUCGUUGUUGUUAUUGUUAUUAUUAUUGUUUAAGUAUUAUUAAGUAUAGAAUUAUUUUUUUUCUAAGUUCUAGGUUGUGAUGAUAAAGGUGACAGUGUGACCUACAGCUGUGAAAGCCUUCCCGUUUUAAUCCUCGCAACGUCUCCUCCACAGUCAACAAAUCAAAUAAAUAAAUCCAGUCAUGUUCACUCAGCAUAUUUAAAAAUAAAAAUGUUGUUAAUGUUGCCUGAUUGUUUAGUUAUCAAUGAUGUAGAUCUAAAUUAAAGGAGGUAGUGCUAUUAUUAAGUAGUAAAACAAUGAUUUGUAACAACCUCACAAUUGUCUUUAGUUAUCUCAGUGUUAUAUUAUGUAGUCUUUCUUUAAUGCAACUUUUGAAGGAUAAUUAUGUUUUUUUCUACACUCAAUAAUGAAAACACAUCCUGCUUUAGCGUUGAUAGAGCAAAGCAGUUGCAAAUCACUUCUCACUGUAUCAGCUCCAACGGUUAAUUUCACUGCUUUGUUGGGUCUCCCUAUGGUUUAGCCAUCUCUUCCUUGUUGAGGCGAGGGAUUGACUUGCUGCAAACCAAAAAAAACUGUUGUUACAAAUCAUUUUACAGCACCAGAAACAUACUGAUUAAUGUGUUAACCAUGUGUUAUUAUGUGUUUAACUGUUCAUCAUCGUCACUGUGUUGCAUUGUGAGAAGUCAAACUGCUGAGGAGUUUGACUCUUUUGUGUGUCUGUUCAUGUACACAGUUAAACUCCAGAAUGUACUCUAAUAAACACAACCUCUGUUCUUUCACUAAUCACACAUUUGUAACUGUUAACCUAACAAUGAC
rnacentral:lncRNA from 1 species